rnacentral:lncRNA from 1 species
GUGGAAAUCCAUUUUGCUACGCUAUCCAAUUGCAGUCAUAUUUUGUAAUCAGUGCUUUUGGCCAAAUGCACAGUGUAAAUUAUAUGGAAAAAUGAGAAGACAUGUUCUGUCUCAUGCCGUUGCCAGUCUCUUAAUCUGGAGUGACAACCACAACCACAGCGAGAAUCACUGUGAAAUCCAGCAACGUAAGCACCUCCACGUGUGA